rnacentral:rRNA from 1 species
UACGGGGGGGGUAAGCGUUGUUCGGAAUUACUGGGCGUAAAGGGCUCGUAGGCGGCGCGGUAAGUCGGGUGUGAAAUCUCGGAGCUUAACUCCGAAACUGCAUUCGAUACUGCCGUGCUUGAGGACUGGAGAGGAGACUGGAAUUUACGGUGUAGCGGUGAAAUGCGUAGAUAUCGUAAGGAAGACCAGUGGCGAAGGCGGGUCUCUGGACAGUUCCUGACGCUGAGGCACGAAGGUCAGGGGAGCAAACGGG